GCUGAGCAUGGUGGUGCACGCCUGUAAUCCCAGCAGCUCGGGAGGCUGAAACAGGAGGAUUGCAAGUUCAAAGCCAGUCUCAGCAACAAAGAGGCACUAAGCAACUCCGUGAGACCCUGUCUCUA
rnacentral:sRNA from 1 species